UCUCCCUCUUCUCCUGCUUCCUCUUAUCAGUUAGGGGUGUUUACUAUUUUAGUUAAACCAACCAGAUUUAGCCACAAUCUCUCUCAACCAAGCACAUCUUUGCUGUCAAUAUUUAAAUAUUAUCCUCUCUGU